rnacentral:rRNA from 1 species
AGAGUUUGAUCAUGGCUCAGGACGAACGCUGGCGGCGUGCCUAACACAUGCAAGUGGAGCGACGAACCAGGGCUUGCCCUGGGGCAGAGCCGCGAACGGGUGAGUAACACGUGGGUCACCUGCCUCGAUGACUGGGACAACCCGAGGAAACUCGGGCUAAUACCGGAUGUGCCCGCAAGGGGAAAGGAAGCUUCGGCCUCCGCAUCGAGAUGGGCCCGCGGCCCAUUAGCUUGUUGGUGAGGUAAAGGCUCACCAAGGCUCCGAUGGGUAGCUGGUCUGAGAGGACGAUCAGCCACACUGGGACUGAGACACGGCCCAGACUCCUACGGGAGGCAGCAGUGGGGAAUCUUGCGCAAUGCGCGAAAGCGUGACGCAGCAACGCCGCGUGGGGGAAGAAGGCUUUCGGGUUGUAAACCCCUUUCAGUUGGGACGAAGCUUCGCCGGUGAAUAGCCGGCCGGAGUGACGGUACCUUCACAAGAAGCACCGGCUAACUACGUGCCAGCAGCCGCGGUAAUACGUAGGGUGCAAGCGUUGUCCGGAAUUAUUGGGCGUAAAGAGCGUGUAGGCGGCCCGAUUAGUCCGCUGUGAAAGUCCAGGGCUCAACCCUGGAAUGCCGGUGGAUACUGUCGGGCUAGAGUCCGGAAGGGGCGAGUGGAAUUCCUGGUGUAGCGGUGAAAUGCGCAGAUAUCAGGAGGAACACCAAUGGCGAAGGCAGCUCGCUGGGACGUGACUGACGCUGAGACGCGAAAGCGUGGGGAGCAAACAGGAUUAGAUACCCCGGUAGUCC